AGAGUUUGAUCCUGGCUCAGGACGAACGCUGGCGGCGUGCUUUACACAUGCAAGUCGAACGGUGAAGUCGGGGCUUGCCCCGGCGGAUCAGUGGCGAACGGGUGAGUAACACGUGAGCAACCUACCCCUGACUCCGGGAUAACUUCCCGAAAGGGAAGCUAAUACCGGAUAUGAACCUCUGCGGCAUCGCGGGGGUUGGAAAGUUCUUCGGUCAGGGAUGGGCUCGCGGCCUAUCAGCUAGUUGGUGGGGUAAUGGCCUACCAAGGCAACGACGGGUAGCCGGCCUGAGAGGGCGACCGGCCACACUGGGACUGAGACACGGCCCAGACUCCUACGGGAGGCAGCAGUGGGGAAUAUUGCACAAUGGGAAAGUGACGGUAGGCGCAGAAGAAGCACCGGCUAACUACGUGCCAGCAGCCGCGGUGAUACGUAGGGUGCAAGCGUUGUCCGGAAUUAUUGGGCGUAAAGAGCUCGUAGGCGGUUUGUCGCGUCUGCUGUGAAAAUCCGGGGCUUAACCCCGGACUUGCAGUGGGUACGGGCAAACUAGAGUGUGGUAGGGGAGACUGGAAUUCCUGGUGUAGCGGUGAAAUGCGCAGAUAUCAGGAGGAACACCGGUGGCGAAGGCGGGUCUCUGGGCCAUAACUGACGCUGAGGAGCGAAAGCAUGGGUAGCGAACAGGAUUAGAUACCCUGGUAGUCCAUGCCGUAAACGUUGGGCGCUAGGUGUGGGGCUCAUUUCACGAGUUCUGCGCCGCCGCAAACGCAUUAAGCGCCCCGCCUGGGGAGUACGGCCGCAAGGCUAAAACUCAAAGGAAUUGACGGGGCCCCGCACAAGCGGCGGAGCAUGCGGAUUAAUUCGAUGCAACGCGAACGUGUCGUGAGAUGUUGGGUUAAGUCCCGCAACGAGCGCAACCCUCGUCCUAUGUUGCCAGCGGGUAAUGCCGGGGACUCAUGGGAGACUGCCGGGGUCAACUCGGAGGAAGGUGGGGAUGAGGUCAAAUCAUCAUGCCCCUUAUGUCUUGGGCUUCACGCAUGCUACAAUGGCCAGUACAAAGGGCUGCGAGACCGUAAGGUGGAGCGAAUCCCAAAAAGCUGGUCUCAGUUCGGAUUGGGGUCUGCAACUCGACCCCAUGAAGUUGGAGUCGCUAGUAAUCGCAGAUCAGCAACGCUGCGGUGAAUACGUUCCCGGGGCUUGUACACACCGCCCGUCACGUCACGAAAGUCGGUAACACCCGAAGCCGGUGGCCCAACCCUUGUGGAGGGAGCCGUCGAAGGUGGGACUGGCGAUUGGGACGAAGUCGUAACAAGGUAGCCGUACCGGAAGGUGCGGCUG
rnacentral:rRNA from 1 species